GAGCCUGGGAGGAGGCUGGGAGGAGCCUGGGAGGAGGCGGAGCCUGGGAGGAGGCUGGGAGGAGCCUGGGAGGAGGCGGAGCCUGGGAGGAGGCUGGGAGGAGGCGGAGCCUGGGAGGAGGCGGAGCCCCACGGCGACGGACAGAAACAUGAAACUCUGAAACAUCAGAAGCUGCUGAGCGAGUCCAGCUGGUCCAAUCAGAGAGAAGAGAGUGUGUUUGUUUGUUUGUUUGUUUUCUUGUGACUUGAUGAGCCAGGUUUCACAUCACAGUGACAUCACAGUGACAUCACUGACUCAGCUCUGGUCCAGGUUCACACUCUGUUCUUGUUCCCCUUUAAGCAGCAGGUGAAGCUCCACACACACACACACACACACACACACACACACACACACACACACACACACACACACCGCACACACACACACACACUGUUAGAGCUGAGCAGUGAUCUGUUUGGAGCUAUGCAACUCAACAUCUUUUCUGCUGAGACCGCCUGUCUGUCUGUCUGCCUGUCUGCCUGUCUGUCUGUCUGCCUGUCUGUCUGUCUGCCUGUCUGCCUGUCUGUCUGCCUGUCUGUCUGCACACCAAGAAGGGAACUUUUAUUUUGUAGUGUGUAUCUUGAAGUUUUCUCUGAAACAGGAAGUCACAGAGUCUGUAGCGGUUGCUAUGGUGACGCUGAACCUCAUGCAUGAACCCUCGAUCCUGGCGAGCAGGACGGGACGCCAGCUCUGACCUCGGCCCCGCCCCACCCCCGGCUCAGCCCCGCCCCGCCCCGCCCCCGACUCGGCCCCGCCCCCGGCUCGGCCCCACCCCACCCCGGCUCGGCCCCGCCCCGCCCCCGGCUCGGCCCCGCCCCCGCCCCGCCCCCCGGCUCGGCCCCGCCCCCGGCUCGGCCCCGCCCCCCGCUGUGUGACACUAAACUCUCUCUGGCUGCUGAUCGAUCGUCCCUGGGAUCUGAUCGCUGAUCAGUUUGAGCGAUCGCUUCCUGGCUGUGAGGCGUGUCUGUCCUGUUCCUGUCCAAUCAGACGCCACGUUACUGUCUUACGCUCUCAUUGGUUGGAUUGAGAGAGAGUUCUGUUGUUGCCAUGGAGAUGGAAACAGCUGUGGAACUUUUUUAGUGUUUGGAGAGCACACCUGAACCUGUGUGUGUGUGUGUGUGUGUGUGUGUGUGUGUGUGUGUGUGUGUGUGUGUGUGUGUACUGCAAACUGCAAACCCAGCACACCUGGGUUCAGCUGUCACCAUGGAAACCACAAGAUGUCUGUGACGUGUCUGUAGUCCUCGUCUCUGCCCGGUCUUGACUGAGCGUGUGCGGCAGAGACGAGCCUCCGUCUGAUUGGACCGUUCGGACGCCCUGAGGACGUCCCACUCCUGUCCCGUCUCCGCCGACAGCCGCACAUGCUCAGUGCGGACCAGGAAGUGUCAGUCCCACCUGGUUUGAUGACGUCACUUCACACAGGAACUCACCAGCUGCUCAUCUGGAUCCUGAUUGGCUCUGCUCCACCAUGUUAGCAUGCUAGCAGCUAACCUGUUGUUAGCCUGUCCCCGCUAACACCCUGCCAGGGACGGUUCUGCUCCGGCUCCGGUUCCUGUUCCUGUUCCGGUCCAGCUCCUGUUCCUGUUCUGUUCCGGCUCCGGCUCCUGUUCCGGGUCAGCGUCGUGGUUCUUGUGGUUCUGUGUGAACUCCACAUGUUGACCGGAGCGGUUUGCUGCAGGUCAGGUAUUUACCAUGUAAAUGUUUCCUUGAAGCAAUAGUCCACCUGUAGAACCGGGCCAUGCAGGUAGAACCCAGCCGCUCGGUUCCUCUGACACUCAACAGGAAACAGGAAGUGAGAAACUCCCCGUGUUUUCUUUUGUUUUGUUUUGUUUUGUUUCCUGUGCAGAAAUGAGAUGAGAUGAGAUGCAGACGUGUGACUGUCAUUUUCUCUGUUGCCAUAAAACGCUGAUUUGAAAUAAAAGCCUGUUUUCUUGUUUCA